UAAUGGUGCACUAGUAGUACAGUGGU
rnacentral:piRNA from 1 species